AUAUAUUAUAGAUUACUACAAUUAAUAAAUUAUAUCAUUAUAAUUGUAUUAUAUAUAGAUGAUACUAUAUAUAAUGCUAGAUUUUACCUAAUAUACCUCAUAAUACGAAUUAAAGUUAAUUACAUUUGAACUUCCUUGUUAUUAUCUUAUUAUCGACUAUCUUAUUAUCUAAAUAUGCUACAGAAUGAUAUAUAGAUACAUAUCAUAAGAUUAGCAAUAAAAAAAUUUUUUAAAUCGUAAUAUUGACGCUAUCUCUUGAACUCGUUUAAUAAAUUCACUCAACCUUGAAGGACUUGUAAACAAACGUGACGCGAACACUGUUUCUAAUCAGGGACUUUGAUAGAAAUCUAACAACCGUGCUUUGUUGCAAAGUUUCUUUCCAUACUGUAGAAAUUGUACUAGAUAUCCCGUCGCUCUAUUUGUUGCGCAAAUAUGAAAGAAAUAUCAUGUAAAGAGCAAUCUAUAUGACUAAUA
rnacentral:misc_RNA from 1 species